rnacentral:rRNA from 1 species
AGUGAACGCUGGCGGUAGGCCUAACACAUGCAAGUCGAACGGCAGCACAGUAAGAGCUUGCUCUUACGGGUGGCGAGUGGCGGACGGGUGAGGAAUACAUCGGAAUCUACUUUUUCGUGGGGGAUAACGUAGGGAAACUUACGCUACUACCUCAUACGACCUACGGGUGAAAGCAGGGGAUCUUCGGACCUUGCGCGAUUGAAUGAGCCGAUGUCGGAUUAGCUAGUUGGCGGGGUAAAGGCCCACCAAGGCGACGAUCCGUAGCUGGUCUGAGAGGAUGAUCAGCCACACUGGAACUGAGACACGGUCCAGACUCCUACGGGAGGCAGCAGUGGGGAAUAUUGGACAAUGGGCGAAAGCCUGAUCCAGCCAUACCGCGUGGGUGAAGAAGGCCUUCGGGUUGUAAAGCCCUUUUGUUGGGAAAGAAAAGCAGCAGGUUAAUACCCCGAUGUUCUGACGGUACCCAAAGAAUAAGCACCGGCUAACUUCGUG